rnacentral:rRNA from 1 species
AAACCAACUGGGAUUGCCCUAGUAACGGCGAGUGAAGCGGCAAUAGCUCAAAUUUGAAAUCUGGCUUCCUUUGGGGGUCCGAGUUGUAAUUUGCAGAGGGUGCUUUGGCGUUGGUAGCGGUCUAAGUUCCUUGGAACAGGACAUCGCAGAGGGUGAGAAUCCCGUUUGUGGUCGCAUGCCUUCGCCGUGUAAAGCCCCUUCGACGAGUCGAGUUGUUUGGGAAUGCAGCUCUAAAUGGGAGGUAAAUUUCUUCUAAAGCUAAAUACUGGCCAGAGACCGAUAGCGCACAAGUAGAGUGAUCGAAAGAUGAAAAGCACUUUGGAAAGAGAGUCAAACAGCACGUGAAAUUGUUGAAAGGGAAGCGCUUGCAGCCAGACUUGCCCGUAGUUGCUCACCCAGGCUUUUGCCCGGGGCAUUCUUCUGCGGGCAGGCCAGCAUCAGUUUGGGCGGUCGGAUAAAGGCCUCUGUCACGUAUCUUCCUUCGGGAUGACCUUAUAGGGGAGGCGACAUGCGACCAGCCCGGACUGAGGUCCGCGCUUCUGCUAGGAUGCUGGCGUAAUGGCUGUAAGCGGC